CAGUAGCCACGGGAAUACGUAGGUGGCAAGCGUUGUCCGGAAUUAUUGGGCGUAAAGGGCUCGCAGGCGGUUUCUUAAGUCUGAUGUGAAAGCCCCCGGCUCAACCGGGGAGGGUCAUUGGAAACUGGGAAACUUGAGUGCAGAAGAGGAGAGUGGAAUUCCACGUGUAGCGGUGAAAUGCGUAGAGAUGUGGAGGAACACCAGUGGCGAAGGCGACUCUCUGGUCUGUAACUGACGCUGAGGAGCGAAAGCGUGGGGAGCGAACAGGAUUAGAUACCCCUGUAGUCCCUGUCUCUUAUAA
rnacentral:rRNA from 1 species